AAACGCACGUGUGUAAUCGCGACGACAAUGCAAGGUCGGUCAUGAGCGUCAAAGAAGGUAAACGUUUCAGCGCUAAAAGCGUCUCGGACUUUAACAGCAGUAAGUGGUACCGAGUGUGCUGACAGGAUGCUGCUCGCAAAGGUGGUUGCUUCGGAGCGCAUACCCUGCCGAUGUUAGGCACUACCUAGAGAAGCGGUGCUGUGGCAUAUAUUCGACAAGGAAGCACAGCAUGCCUGGGAAGCUUGUUGCGGGGAAGAUCACCGAUUUGAU
rnacentral:lncRNA from 1 species